UUUCAGGGCGGGGUGAGAUUCCCCACUGGCGGUAACGGGGCCGGGCGCACGCGCCACGGCAAAGAACGCAGGGCAGAAGCGCCCGCGCACCCCGAAGCCCGCGACCCGCGAAUACGCGGCCGACCUGGUGAGACUCCAGGGCCAACGGUAUAGUCCGGAUGGAAGAAA
rnacentral:ncRNA from 1 species